rnacentral:miRNA from 1 species
GGUAAAACUUCAUGACUAAUUGGAGUCUGGCUGAUAUGGUUUGACACAGAGCUAAAUCAUAUUAGCCAGGCUCCAGUUAGCCACCAAUUUCUGUU